rnacentral:rRNA from 1 species
CGCUGGCGGCACGCCUAACACAUGCAAGUCGAACGCAGUAGCAAUACUGAGUGGCAAACGGGUGAGUAUAAUGUGGGAAUCUGCCUUUUGGUUUGGAAUAACACGGGGAAACUUGUGCUAAUACCGAAUAAGCCUUUACAGGGAAAGUUUUAACGCCGAAAGAUGAGCCCGCACUUGAUUAGCUAGUUGGUAAGGUAAAAGCUUACCAAGGCAAUGAUCAAUAGCUGUUCUUAGAGGAAGACCAGCCACAUUGGGACUGAGACACGGCCCAGACUCCUACGGGAGGCAGCAGUGGGGAAUCUUGCACAAUGGGGGAAACCCUGAUGCAGCGAUGCCGCGUGAGUGAAGAAGGCCUUUGGGUUGUAAAACUCUUUCGUCGGGGAAGAAAAUGACUGUACCCGAAUAAGAAGGUCCGGCUAACUUCGUGCCAGCAGCCGCGGUAAUACGAAGGGACCUAGCGUAGUUCGGAAUUACUGGGCUUAAAGAGCUCGUAGGUGGUUAAAAAAGUUGAUGGUGAAAUCCCAAGGCUCAACCUUGGAACUGCCAUCAAAACUUUUUAGCUAGAGUGUGAUAGAGGUAAGUGGAAUUUCUAGUGUAGAGGUGAAAUUCGUAGAUAUUAGAAAGAACACCAAAUGCGAAGGCAACUUACUGGGUCACUACUGACACUGAGGAGCGAAAGCAUGGGUAGCGAAGAGGAUUAGAUACCCUCGUAGUCCAUGCCGUAAACGAUGUGUGCUAGACGUUGGAAAUAUAUUUUUCAGUGUCGCAGAGAAAUCGUUAAGCACACCGCCUGGGGAGUACGACCGCAAGGUUAAAACUCAAAUGAAUUGACGGGGACCCGCACAAGUAG